UAGGGAAUCUUCCACAAUGGACGCAAGUCUGAUGGAGCAACGCCGCGUGAGUGAAGAAGGCUUUCGGGUCGUAAAACUCUGUUAUUGAAGAAGAACGUGUGUGACAGUAACUGGUCAUGCAGUGACGGUAUUCAAUCAGAAAGUCACGGCUAACUACGUGCCAGCAGCCGCGGUAAUACGUAGGUGGCAAGCGUUGUCCGGAUUUAUUGGGCGUAAAGCGAGUGCAGGCGGUCUUUUAAGUCUGAUGUGAAAGCCUUCGGCUUAACCGAAGAAGGGCAUCGGAAACUGGGAGACUUGAGUGCAGAAGAGGAGAGUGGAACUCCAUGUGUAGCGGUGAAAUGCGUAGAUAUAUGGAAGAACACCAGUGGCGAAGGCGGCUCUCUGGUCUGUAACUGACGCUGAGGCUCGAAAGCGUGGGUAGCAAACAGGAUUAGAUACCCUGGUAGUCCACGCCGUAAACGAUGAAU
rnacentral:rRNA from 1 species